GAUGAACGCUGGCGGCGUGCCUAAUACAUGCAAGUCGAGCGAACGGACGAGAAGCUUGCUUCUCUGAUGUUAGCGGCGGACGGGUGAGUAACACGUGGAUAACCUACCUAUAAGACUGGGAUAACUUCGGGAAACCGGAGCUAAUACCGGAUGAUAUUUUGAACCGCUUGGUUCAAAAGUGAAAGACGGUCUUGCUGUCACUUAUAGAUGGAUCCGCGCUGCAUUAGCUAGUUGGUAAGGUAACGGCUUACCAAGGCAACGAUGCAUAGCCGACCUGAGAGGGUGAUCGGCCACACUGGAACUGAGACACGGUCCAGACUCCUACGGGAGGCAGCAGUAGGGAAUCUUCCGCAAUGGGCGAAAGCCUGACGGAGCAACGCCGCGUGAGUGAUGAAGGUCUUCGGAUCGUAAAACUCUGUUAUUAGGGAAGAACAAAUGUGUAAGUAACUAUGCACAUCUUGACGGUACCUAAUCAGAAAGCCACGGCUAACUACGUG
rnacentral:rRNA from 1 species